GACGAACGCUGGCGGCGUGCUUAACACAUGCAAGUCGAACGAUGAAGCCGGAGCUUGCUCUGGUGAAUUAGUGGCGAACGGGUGAGUAACACGUGAGUAACCUGCCCUUGACUCUGGGAUAACUGCGGGAAACUGUAGCUAAUACCGGAUACGACCCUCGGAGGCAUCUCCUGGGGGUGGAAAGAAUUUCGGUCAAGGAUGGACUCGCGGCCUAUCAGCUAGUUGGUGAGGUAAAGGCUCACCAAGGCGACGACGGGUAGCCGGCCUGAGAGGGUGACCGGCCGAACUGGGACUGAGACACGGCCCAGACUCCUACGGGAGGCAGCAGUGGGGAAUAUUGCACAAUGGGCGCAAGCCUGAUGCAGCAACGCCGCGUGAGGGAUGACGGCCUUCGGGUUGUAAACCUCUUUUAGCAGGGAAGAAGCGAAAGUGACGGUACCUGCAGAAAAAGCACCGGCUAACUACGUGCCAGCAGCCGCCGUAA
rnacentral:rRNA from 1 species